CUAAGAUCUGUGCACGUUUUAUUAUUUAAUUAGGUAAAUAUUAAUUGGCAAUAUUCGAAUCUGACAGCACGCGUGCAAUCUUUACAUGUUUUACGAUCAAUCAUGAUAUUUCUUUCCUGGUACAUGAUAUUUAAGCCUGUAAAUUUUUAAUCUUGCCACGUGUUGGUAUUGUGCAAGACGGAUUUCUUAAUCGUUAUAAAUGUGCGGGAUAUAAUAGAACAUACUUACAAAAUGUUGGUCUUGUUAUGCCUGAUAGCUACUGCCCUACCUUUAACUCUUGUGGAAGGUGCGAAUUGCUGGGCGGCCUCGACAAUGAAUGUCUCUUAGGUACAGUUGUAAACGGAGGCAGAGAUAGAACGAUCACCUAUGAAGUCACCAUUAAAUAAUCUUCGCAGAUUUGUUGUCAAGCCCUAAGCUGCCCGACCGCAGGAUGUCAGUUUGAGGAGAUGGGGUGUGGUAACACGGUAAUCACAUUGCCUUGGGAGUCCACAAAUAAACAGCCUGUCAUGAGAUGC